ensembl:lncRNA
ACUGCUUUUAAUCAUCACCUUUACAAAUUGUAUUCCAUAUUUUGUCUCCCAGUGGUUAUUAGACUUUCUUUUUUUAUUUUAUUUAUUUAUUUUUUUUAAAGAUUUUAUUUAUUUAUUUCACAGAGACAGAGACAGCCAGCGAGAGAGGGAACACAAGCAGGGGGAGUGGGAGAGAAAGAAGCAGGCUCACAGCAGAGGAGCCUGAUGUGGGGCUCGAUCCCAUAACGCCGGGAUCACGCCCUGAGCCGAAGGCAGACGCUUAACCGCUGUGCCACCCAGGUGCCCCUAGACUUUCUUUUUUUAAAAAAAGAUUUUAUUUAUUUAUUUAUUUGAUUGAGAGAGAGAGAGAGCGUAUGAGGGAGCGAGCAUAAACGGGAGGAGGGUGGAGGGAGAGGGACAAAGCAGCUGAAGCUUUCUGAGUUCCCCACCUGUGAUUCUCCCUCUUUUCUCUGAACUCUGGAAACAUUACAUCACCUAGUUGGCACAAGCAGUGUUCUGCCUUGAUUUGAUUGGUUUUCUUUUCUGGUUGUUAUCUUUUUUUUUUUUUUUUUUUUAAAGAUUUUAUUUUNUUUUAUUUUAUUUGACAGAGAUAGAGACAGCCAGCGAGAGAGGGAACACAAGCAGGGGAAGUGGGAGAGGAAGAAGCAGGCUCAUAGCAGAGGAGCCUGAUGUGGGGCUCGAUCCCACAAUGCCGGGAUCACGCCCUGAGCCGAAGGCAGACGCUUAACCGCUGUGCCACCCAGGCGCCCCUCUGGUUGUUAUCUUUUGACUUGAUGCCAAACAUCUUCAUUGAGUUUCCCCGUUGUCAGCACUGAGGAACCGGCUCAUGCCUCUCAAAAGAACCCUGGAGGAGAAAUGAAGUGAAGGCCCUAAGAGAAUCUUUGAUCAAUGGAAGAGGAGAGUCAGUGGUUAAAUUUUUUACCCUUAACCAAUCCCCUACCAAUGGCUAUUUAGAUUAGGUUAGGUUUUUUUCCCUCUCUUCUUCCCCUUGUCCCCCAUUAGAAACAAUAGUGCAUUAAACAUCUUUGUGUGUGUAUUUCUUGAGGAUAAAUUCUUGGAAGGGCUGGCCCUAGGUGAAAGGGAAUGGACAUUCUAUUCUACAUUUUCAUAAACUGCCAAAUUAAUUUUCAAUAAGGUUGUACCAAUUUAUUUUCUUACCAAUGCACAGGGCAUUUUCAUUUUUUUAUUUGAGAGAGAAUGUGUGCAAAAGUGGGUGGAGGGGUAGAGGGAGAGGGAGAGAAAGAAUCUCAGGCAGACUCCCCGGUGAGUGGGGAACCCAAAAGAUACGGGACUCAGUCCCAUGACCCAUGAGAUUAUGACCUGAGCUGAAAUCAUGAGUUGGAUGCUUAACUGACUGAGCCACCGUUGCACCCCAAGGGCAUUUUCAUUUUAAGUGAAACAAGAAUCUUAAGGCAAAUGGAUUCAGUUCUGAUCUUAGAAUUAUAGGUUGUAGUUUUCUGAUGGAGGAGGAUUAUUUGGUCAAUAGACGCUACCUGGUGCCCCUAAAAUUACAGCGCUCCCCGUACUUCGUUCCAUUCAUGCAUUUAUUCAAUCAUGCAACAAAUAUUUAAUGAAUACCUACUAUAUGCGAGUACCAAGAUAGACACUAGUGAUACCAUAGUGAGCAGAUAACAGUCCCUGUCUGUCAUGGAGCUUACAUUCUAGGGAGCCAGGCACACUGGAGCAUCCUGAAGACUUUGAUAUAAUUCAUUUCUUUUGCUGCUAAGCCUCAACCAGGUAAACUGUUUCUGUUGCAGGUUGGGGUCCAAUAAUUACCCAGAGUUUCACAAAGAGAUAAAACCCAUCUACUUGGCUUGAAAUUGAAAAAGGAAAUUUCACACCCCAUUCUUCAAAGA